AAAGCUAAUGUGAAAUGACACUAGAGUUAGUGUGAUGUAAAGAAUUAAAGUGAUGUAAAGAAUGAUGAAAAUAACGACGAGUAAAGCUAAAGUAAAGUGGGCAAUAAGAACAAGAAUGCUAGAGUUAGCAAAAGUAAAAGAAAUGCAAAGAACAAUGAUUGCUAGAGUUAGCAAGAGUAAUGAGAAUGUAAAGAAUGUGAUUGCAUGAGUUUGCAACAUAAAGUGAUGUAAAGAACACUAGAGCUAGUGUAAAGUCAAGAUUGAACUAUAAUCCUUUGAGUUAAGGAUAUGAUCAUACUUGCUGUUGAGUUCCGU
rnacentral:lncRNA from 1 species